CUUUCUCACACUUCAUUCCAAACCCUAAACCAUUCUUUCAGCCCUUUCUCUCUGUCUACAUCCUCUUCAAAUCAAACUUGGAUCCAUCACUGUCUUCUCCAAACAAUUCAACAAACAGGUAACAAUUCUUCAGAUAAUGUCGCUAACUUCAUCUUCUUCAUCAAGAAAUUUUAGGAUUCUUCUUCGUGACACCAUCAAUGUGUGAACCGAAUUGGAAAAACAUGCUCCUUCUUCGUGACACCAUCCAUUUUAUUUGGAUAUCUAAUUAGGGUUUCUUGGUCUCAUCACAAACUCAAAAAAAAUUUCGAUCCCAUCUGCUUUCUCUCUCUUUCUCCCUGGUGAUUCAAAAAGACGAAGGUGAUUCAAGUCGAUUGGUGAAGAUUUCACCAUAUCAAUGAAGAAUCUAACCUCUCAGCGGGUAUAAUAAGGAUAUUAGGAGUUUAAGUCUUAGUUGUGUGUUUUGAGUCCACCACAAGCUGUCAAUAGAGGACCUCCGAUAAUCCUUACCAUGGUUCUGGUCGAUUAUAGUGUUUGAGAACUUGAAUUAAAGUUCGAUAGUUACAGUUGAAUGCUCACUGAUUUAACUCUAUUUUAUCAAAUUUUAAAUUCAGUUUCUUUAUUCAAAGUCAAGUUACUUGCCCUAAUUUAUUACAUGAUUUGAGUUAAUAUUAUGUAUUUAUGUGUACCAAGCUGAUGAUCAACACUACAUACCAAGGGCAUUGCUAAUGUAUUUGGAUCCCAGGGUGAUUAAUGGAAUCCAAACCGGCGAAUACAGAAAUCUUUAUAGUCACGGGAAUAUAUUUAAUACAAAAUAAGGAGGGGGUGCAGGAAACAAUUGGGCCAGUGGAUAUCAUCAGGUUAGGAAGUAGGAACUACCUUCAUGUGACCACCAUUAUUUUCUUAAUUUUAAAAGAGUUAAAUAAUAUAAUUUUGUUAUCAUAUAGGGUUUUAGUGAAACCCGUUUCACCCGUUUUGUCAUCUUUAUUUUUUAAUUUGACGUGCACACUUAAGGAAUUAAGGGAGUAGGUUUGUUGACUUGGAUUGCAAUCAAAAGAUAAGUGACCAGUUAGUAGUAUUUGUGGAAAUUUGUUCUUUUGCUCAUUUUAAGGUUGGAAAGAGCAUACAUGGAAAAAAACUUAUCUCUGGUUCAACUGGUUUACCUGCUCAUAUGAAUGGCCAAAGGGUAGGAUAGUUAUUAAAAUCAGCAAUCAAAUUGAGAAUUGUUGAUAAAAUCUUCGCCACCUUCGAAGUUGAUCUCCAAUCAUUCUCUGGCUCUUUUGAUGCAACUUUUAUUUUUUGUUUCAUGAUCUGGUGGUGGUGCUUCGAGCAUCGGUGAUGGCAGUCUGGGAUAUACUGAGCAUACCGUCCUCAAAAUUUGAUACAUCAAUUUUGGAUCUUGCAGCUUAUUUCUCAUCAAUGGUUUUGGGGGUUCUGAAUCGUUGGCCGAAGCUCAAAAUUGGGAGAAAUAUGGGGUAAAUAUGUCCAAGGAGUUGACCUCUCUGGCCUCUUUAAAUGAAGUUCAGUUAUCUUGAAGAGGAACUUGAAGACCCAUCGCAUAUUAAAUCAAGUUGUUAAUGGCAGCUUCUGCUUGGGCUUGAUGCGAAUGCGGGGAAGUGACAACUUUACAGAGUUAUCAUGAGAGUUAUCAUGUUUGAGGUAAUAAUGAGGUGUUAAACGUUCCUCCAGUAGAGAUUAGCAAAGUUGAUACUAAUGUUGAUGUUUCUGAUAGACAAAUCCCCAUUUUGAGAAAAUUGAAGAAUCUGAUAUAUGUGAUUCUUCUGAAUCAAAUCUUGAAGUGACCAGGACAGAUAAGUUGGUCAAAGAUGGAGUUGUGGAACCCACACCUGAGCUAAGUCAUGCCCCCGUGUCAGAAGUUGUUAAACAAUCUGUAGUAGUUGAAGAAAUUAAGAUUGAAAAGUUUGAAUUGGAUGGUGAAGUUGCUCCUGAAGAUGUGAAAGGAUCUAAAACUGAUUAGGGGUUUUAGUGAAUAAAAUCAAGCAUGCAAAGUCUAAAUCUGAUCUUACAUAUGUUGAGAAGUUGAUCAAGAACCUAAAAUUGAUCAGAAUGUUUCAGUUCUAAAUAAAAAGAUGAAUCUUGGUUCUAUAAAGAAGUGAUUGGAAGAAUAUGGCUACUCAAAGUGAAGUUGGAGCAAAAGGUGCUACUACUAGACCGCCUCCGAAUCCGUACAUGUUACGGAUUGUUAAGUUUUUUGAGGAUGCAACUUUAGGAUCUGUGUAAGAGUGGUUUCUUGAAGCUCUCGAACUAUACUUAAUCACUAAUUUCAAUAGCGUUGGAUUUUGAAAUGCAUUAUCAUAAUCUAAGGAAUGAUGUGCUAUGAUAUAUGUUGCUUGAAGUCAAUUGCAAGGGAAUAUGGAUGAAUAUAGUAGGAGCUCAGGGAGACAAUCAUCACGGCCGGUUUUAAAAUCCGAAUUAUCCGGUAAAUCGACGCCCAGAGGUUCUCCAUCGUUUAGAAGAUUAAGCUCGAGUCGGACUCCUAGAAGAGAUGGGAGUAGCAAUGGAUUUAAUUCUCAUUGUUUCAGAAGCAACGGGAUAUUCUGUAGCCAUAGCCUUGGAGCUCUAGACGAUUCAUAUUCAAAAAUUGAGUCGAUAGGUUUUUGAAGUACACCAUUUCCAGGGUUUAUUUGAAAUUCUUUAUAUGUUGGGCGCAUUUAUGUCAAAUAACAAUGCUGGAGCAAAAAGUAUGUCUGGUGGGAUGAGCUUUACAUUGGUAGGUCCUAAACAAGUUUGGUGGAACAUUGUUAGUUGCUGGUGACAUCCAGAUUAAACGGAAACCAAAACCGAUGAUUAUUGCCGGUUUUGCCGUUGAGUACUUUUACCCAGGAUUUGGUGCAAUGCCUUAUUGCAAAUCAUUCAAAGGGGGCGCAAUAAUCUUGGUGUGUGAGUUUUUUGGAGUCAAAAUCAUCAUGGCCGUUUAUACAACAUUUAGGCCUGCAAGAAGGUGGAAUGGAUGCAAUCAAGCUGGAAGGGGGUGCACCAUCAAGGAUUUCAGCUGCAAAACACAUUGUUGAAGGUGGGAUUGAAGUUAUGGGGCAUGUAGGGUUGGCCCCUCAAGCCAUUAGUGUUCUUGGUAGAUUUAGACCUCAAGGGAGGAAUGUUCUCAGUGUUUUGAAACUUUGCCCCGGAUAUGUAAAAUGAACCGACCGUUUUUGGAAUAUUUGUUUAUAAAUAUGUAUAAUGUUCAUGAAAA